rnacentral:rRNA from 1 species
CCUACGGUGGGCUGCAGUGAGGAAUAUUGGUCAAUGGACGCAAGUCUGAACCAGCCAUGCCGCGUGCAGGCAGACGGCUCUAUUAGUUGUAAACUGCUUUUGUACGAGGGUAAACGCAGAUACGCGUAUCUGUCUGAAAGUAUCGUACGAAUAAGGAUCGGCUAACUACGUGCCAGCAGCCGCGGUAAUACGGAGGAUUAAAGCGUUAUCCGGAUUUAUUUGUUUUAAAGGGUGCGUAGGCGGUCGGAUAAGUUAGAGGGGAAAUCCCGAGGCUCAACUUCGGAAUUGCCUCUGAUACUGUUCGGCUAGCGAGUAGUUGCGGUAGGCGGAAUGUAUGGUGUAGCGGUGAAAUGCUUAGAGAUCAUACAGAACACCGAUUGCGAAGGCAGCUUACCAAGCUACUUCUGACGUUGAGGCACGAAAGCGUGGGGAGCAAACAGGAUUAGAUACCCCUGUAGUC